rnacentral:rRNA from 1 species
GGCCCCGCACAAGCGGUGGAGCAUGUGGUUUAAUUCGAUGAUACGCGAGGAACCUUACCAGGGUUUAAAUGCAGAACGACAGGGGUGGAAACACCCCCUUCUUCGGACGGACUGCAAGGUGCUGCAUGGUUGUCGUCAGCUCGUGCUGUGAAGUGUCGGGUUAAGUCCCAUAACGAGCGCAACCCCCAUUUCUAGUUGCCAGCGGUUCGGCCGGGGACUCUAGAGAAACUGCCAGCGUAAGCUGUGAGGAAGGUGGGGAUGACGUCAAAUCAUCACGGCCCUUACGUCCUGGGCUACACACGUGCUACAAUGGCCGGUACAGAGGGCAGCCACACCGCAAGGUGGAGCGAA